CAAGACAAUUCUAGACACAUUGAUUCUUCCAAGCCACAACAAGAAAUAUUGAUAUUUCUCUGGUUCUCAAUCUGUCCUCAGACUUCUUAGAGGAGUAAUAUUUUUUUCCAUUUCUCUUCAUCUUCUCAGUUGGGUGUUGCAACUUUCAGAGAGUUGGUAUGAGUAAGAGUUUAGGGCAGAACUUGGAGUUUUUUGCCGGCGAUAAUGGUGGUCUUUUACCAUAUAUUUGCUGUUCUUAAAGGUUGAAUCUCUGGGAACAAGCAUGAUGAUUGAAUAUAGAGAGGUGAUAUAUGUACAAGGAACGCUAAGGAGCAAUUUUGGAGUCAAAA